AAAAAAAAUCAGAUAUGCAUGUACUGCAUGAAUACAGAUUUUGCAAUAAAGUACCACAAUUUAAAGGACAAAAGUUUAUAUAGAAGUGUAUAUUUAUUGAUCACUAAUUUAGGACAGACUUCUUAUUGCUGUUUGCCACAAACCCUACAAACCAGUCUCAGGGUGUGGGAAAUUUUCAUUAUUAUUGAUUUUUUUUAUAUAUAUAUAUAUAUAUAUAUAUAUAUAUUAAGGGAAAAAAGGGGUCCAAUGGUUUUAUCUUGUAAUCAACUUUUAAAUGAGACUAUUUCAAGUUUUGUGUAAUUUAAAUUUGUCAGUAGCAGUUAAACGGAUAUGUACAUGUAAUAUUAGCAAAUCUAGUACAAACUAAGUAAUUAUUUACAGCUUGUCUUGCAGUCUGCUCCACCGUUAAAAAAUCUUUAGUAUUUAGGUGUCGAAAACAGCUUUAAUUUAUAUAUAUACUAGUCUAGAAUGUAUUGUAAUCUUCAUCCUGGGAAUUCUAGAAGUUGCCCAAUUUAUGAGUAUCGUACACUGUAUGUUUAGGUGCCGUUUGUUAUUUUAGGCUGGUGCAUUACGAGGAACUUUUCAUUUGCAUAAAUCAUUGGCCCUACUGGUUGCUUGGCAACAGUUGAUUCCAAAUUAUGGUUGUUAUUUAUUAUGAAAUUAUAGUACCGGUUGAAUUUCAGUAACAGUUAGCAUGAAUGCUGGGACUAUUUGAAAUGUUAUGCUUUUAAUUAUGAGGGUAUCUAGAUGUUGUUAAGCACUUGUUUGUGUUUUGUUUUUUGUGUAACACAGGUCAUCCUUUAUAACUUUUGGAUGUCCUAACAGGUAACUUUAACCAGGUUUACUUUGAUUAAUAUAGGCCUUCUUGUGAUAUCCAAGUUCAAAUCACCUUGUCCUUUAAUGGAAAUAAGGUUUCAUUUGGGCAACCUGGUUCAAACCCAAGAUGAGAGAGAGAGAGAGUGGUUGCUGCUGUUAUACUAAAUGUUUGUUUCUGCUUACAUGGAUUUAGACUCUAGUAUAGGGUUCUCAUAGUCAUUCUUUUAAUUUGCGUUUGCCUGAGUUGAUCCAGUUAUUCUUGCUUUGUAUUUAUGGGCG
rnacentral:lncRNA from 1 species